rnacentral:rRNA from 1 species
UACGUAGGGUGCAAGCGUUGUCCGGAAUUAUUGGCGUAAGAGCUCGUAGGCGGUCUGUCACGUCGGCUGUGAAACCGAGGCUCAACCUCGGCCUGCAGUCGAUACGGCAAACUAGAGUACUGCAGGGAGACUGGAAUUCCAGGUGUAGCGGUGAAAUGCGUAGAUAUCUUGGAGGAACACCGGUGGUGUAAACGGCUUUCUGGACCAUUACUGACGUGAUGCACGAAAGCGUGGGUAGCAAACAGG